AGUGAAUGCUGGCGGUAGGCCUAACACAUGCAAGUCGAACGGCAGCACAGGAGAGCUUGCUCUCUGGGUGGCGAGUGGCGGACGGGUGAGGAAUACAUCGGAAUCUACUUUUUCGUGGGGGAUAACGUAGGGAAACUUACGCUAAUACCGCAUACGACCUACGGGUGAAAGCAGGGGAUCUUCGGACCUUGCGCGAUUGAAUGAGCCGAUGUCGGAUUAGCUAGUUGGCGGGGUAAAGGCCCACCAAGGCGACGAUCCGUAGCUGGUCUGAGAGGAGGGUCGGCCACACUGGAACUGGGGCACGGUCCAGACUCCUACGGGAGGCAGCAGUGGGGAAUAUUGGACAAUGGGCGCAAGCCUGAUCCAGCCAUACCGCGUGGGUGAAGAAGGCCUUCGGGUUGUAAAGCCCUUUUGUUGGGAAAGAAAUCCAGCUGGUUAAUACCCGGUUGGGAUGACGGUACCCAAAGAAUAAGCACCGGCUAACUUCGUGCCAGCCGCCGCCGUAA
rnacentral:rRNA from 1 species